CAGGAGGAACAGGAGAAAUUAAGGGCAGAUUUUUCUCAGGUUGCUGCUGAUGUGUCUGAACUUACCUCUUCUCUUUUCUAGUGGACAAAAUGAUAGUAAUUGUAGUUUAAGCUGAUGUAAUAUGCAGUUGUUAAUGUGAUUUUGUUGCGAUUGGAUAAUGUACCAAUGCCUUUUCUUUUUUUUUGAAAAAAAAAAAAUCCCCUUCAAUGGUA
rnacentral:misc_RNA from 1 species